GGCCUGGCUGGCCGGUCCGCCUCACCGCGUGCACUGGUCCGGCCGGGCCUUUCGCACUGGGGAACCGCAUGCCCUUCACUGGGCGUGCGGGGAACCAGGACUUUUACUUUGAAAAAAUUAGAGUGCUCAAAGCAGGCCUAUGCUUGAAUACAUUAGCAUGGAAUAAUGGAAUAGGACGCG
rnacentral:rRNA from 1 species